GAAAUGCGAUAACUAAUGUGAAUUGCAGAAUUCAGUGAAUCAUCGAAUCUUUGAACGCACCUUGCGCUCCUUGGUAUUCCUUGGAGCAUGCCUGUUUGAGUAUCAUGAAAUCUUCAAAGUAAAUCUUUUGUUAACUCAAUUGGUUUCUACUUUGGUAUUGGAGGUCUUUGCAGCUUCACACCUGCUCCUCUUUGUUCAUUAGCUGGAUCUCAGUGUUAUGCUUGGUUCCACUCGGCGUGAUAAGUUAUCUAUCGCUGAGGACACUGUAAAAGGUGGCCAAGGUAAAUGCAGAUGAACCGCUUCUAAUAGUCCAUUGACUUGGACAAUACUUUUAUGAUCUGAUCUCAAAUCAGGUAGGACUACCCGCUGAACUUAAGC
rnacentral:misc_RNA from 1 species